AUUGAACGCUGGCGACAUGCCUUACACAUGCAAGUCGAACGGCAGCACGGGGCAACCUGGUGGCGAGUGGCGAACGGGUGAGUAAUGCAUCGGAACGUACCUUUCAGUGGGGGAUAACGUAGCGAAAGUUACGCUAAUACCGCAUAUUCUGUGAGCAGGAAAGCAGGGGAUCGCAAGACCUUGCGCUGAUUGAGCGGCCGAUGUCAGAUUAGCUAGUUGGUGAGGUAAAGGCUCACCAAGGCGACGAUCUGUAGCGGGUCUGAGAGGAUGAUCCGCCAAAGUGGAACUGAGACACGGUCCAGACUCCUACUGGAGGCAGCAGUGGGGAAUGUUGGACAAUGGGGGCAACCCUGAUCCAGCCAUGACUCGUGAGUGAAGAAGGCCUUCGGGUUGUAAAGCUCUUUCGGCCGGGAAGAAAUCGCACGGGCUAAUACCCUGUGUGGAUGACGGUACCGGAAUAAGAAGCACCGGCUAACUACGUGCCAGCCGCCGCGGUAACAC
rnacentral:rRNA from 1 species